CGGCCGCUCCCCCCCCCUCCCUUUCCCUUACGCAUCGCCCUCUGCGCGCAAGAGCGCCGGACGUGACUGGCUGGUUCAAUUUGUCACGCUGCCAUUGGCUGCCAGGGGCAGGGGCGGGCGCUGCGUGACGUCAGCGCGCCGCGCAGCGCGCCCGCUGGCUAUUUAUAGGCUCGGAGGGGCCGGUGCGCAGGAGCGAGCAGGCGGGUUGGGCCGGGGGAAGGCCGCGGGUUCAUCGUGCCGCAUCCCCGUGAGCGCAGGGAAGAAGCAGCCGAAACGCCUCGAUCCGGGCUCGCUGGAGCGUCCCUUCGGCGGCCGCUGAGCUUUUGUUUCCGUUUGCGCAGCUCCCGAGCGCCCCCACCGAGCUUUGUCUUCUCGCGGCCCCUGUGGGGAAAGGCGCGGCCAAGAUGGACCCCUGUCACACUGAGGAGACCGAGGGCGAGAUCCCCGGCUUGGGUGUAACCCUUGCGACUACAGUAGCGUCCAUCACUAAGUAGUGCAAGUGCUGUGAAAAGAGCCCUUCAAUAAAGCAGAAGUUGAAAGUAAA